rnacentral:rRNA from 1 species
CCUAGGGGAGGCAGCAGUGGGGAAUAUUGGACAAUGGGCGAAAGCCUGAUCCAGCCAUGCCGCGUGUGUGAAGAAGGCCUUCGGGUUGUAAAGCACUUUCAGUGGGGAAGAAAGCCUUGGGGCUAAUACCCUCGAGGAAGGACAUCACCCACAGAAGAAGCACCGGCUAACUCCGUGCCAGCAGCCGCGGUAAUACGGAGGGUGCGAGCGUUAAUCGGAAUUACUGGGCGUAAAGCGCGCGUAGGCGGUCUGAUAAGCCGGUUGUGAAAGCCCCGGGCUCAACCUGGGAACGGCAUCCGGAACUGUCAGGCUAGAGUGCAGGAGAGGAAGGUAGAAUUCCCGGUGUAGCGGUGAAAUGCGUAGAGAUCGGGAGGAAUACCAGUGGCGAAGGCGGCCUUCUGGACUGACACUGACGCUGAGGUGCGAAAGCGUGGGUAGCAAACAGGAUUAGAUACCCGAGUAGUC